AUCAUCAGCUUUACCGAUUUUUAGUAUAUUUGCCUCUGACCCUGUGUCGACUAAAAAUUCAAUUUCUCUUUUAAGGUCUUUAGAAGAGAUGGCGAUAGGAGGUGAGCUCAGAUCACUGCUUAAGCGGACUGUGCGGGCGUAGUUGGUUCGUCCGUUCUUACCGUCAUAAUUUGACGCGUUUACGCGUUUAUCCCCGAAGUCGCGUCUCUCGUCGGAGGGUGACUCGCGUUUCCCGACUGGCGUUCCUGCCACUUCUUUUUACGACAUUCCUCGAUCAUGUGUCCGAAACUUUUACAAUACCUACACUCUUUCGUAGGAAAGCGGAAAGAUCUUACAGCCGGAGAUGUGUGAGGUAGACGAGAAGGACGAGGAGGAUGGUACCAUCUAUGUGUAGGAGUAUGCUUUUGCGACUCUUGCCUGUUUUUAUAGCAUCGGUCCCGCGUAUGUCCUACUUUCUUACAAUACGAACAGACUUCGCACGCGUCAGUCCGUGUUACUCGUGUGUUAGUUCCUUUUCAUUUUCGUGACUCAUGGUAGUAAUGAUCACCUGGUCGUUCGCUGUUGUCUUUCGAUUGCCAAGAUUUCGCGGUUUUUCUCCUAUUCCAUUCGUACUGCAUUUUGGCAUGCAACUCGAUUGCUCUAUCGCAUGCAUCUGAUAGAUUUUUACUUCGACUAUCUAACAUGUAGGGGAAAUACUCCAUGGGGAGUCCGGCGCAAAAGCUAUCGGAAGCUGGUUGAUCAAUUUUGUUUUUCUUUGCUUAGGACGCUUCUUCCCAAUACCCUUCUUCGUCCAUAAGCGCUUUAUGUAAAUCUUUUACUCUACCGAUAUAUUCAAUCAUAGGUUCGUUCUCGCGCAUUAAAAUAUUUCUAAGUUCGGCUCUAUAAAACUCUUACGAAUGUAUCGAUCCUAGUGAUUGUCUGAGACGAUUGCAUAACGCGUUCAUGUUAUGAAGUUCCUGUUUUUCUAUGGCGCGAUACGCGGAAUCGUGUAUUUUUCGUAUUGCAGCUUUAGUGAAAAGUUCUUCUGGAUAAUCCGGUAUCAUUUGACGAGCUCUCUUACAUGCCUUGAUGAACGAAGUGAGAGGCAUAUUCUUCCCUUAAAAACGCGAUAUCAUUCCUAACGCUUCAUUUAUCGAAUGCUGAUCUGAUUUGGGGCGAGUCUCGUUCUUCAUGGCAAAGAUUUCCUGCAUUAUGAAUACGAGUGGAUCUGUUUCUAUAUUUGUACGUUCGGUUUCGCGCCUCAUUCUUUGCGUGCGCAUAAUGCUUGCUCGCGUGCAGCAAACUGAGAUUCGAAAUUGCAUAAUUUUCUUUGAGCGUACUCUAAUUCGUGCUAGUUGAGUCGCCUAGGUCUUGCACUACGCGUUUCCAUUUUUUUGGAGAGAUUUCCUUAUCAGAUGACAUCGCGUAUAAUUCGCAUAUCCCACCGCUGUCACCAGUUUUGUGUCACCUCCCACUCGGUACAGGUUUUAAAAAAUUUUGUUAAGUUUAAGAUUUUUCUUGAGGAGCUUCGUGAGAUGUGUCCUUUUUCCCCAUUAUCCACUAUGCACAGUUCGUGGCACGGGAUGGACACUUAUACGUACGAUUGUCUGGCGCGGUUAUCUGACUGAAAACUUAGGACUGCUCUUUUCCCUGGGAUCGGAUGGUGUUAAGUCCCUCGGGAUGUUGAUUUCUUCUUCAGUUGUAAUGGGUUCGAGACGAUAUGGAACUGUUUCGCGUUUGUUAGUAGACUCGGAUGAAGCGAUUUCCAUGUCCGCGUGAUGAAGCGGAUCGUAAUACGCCGCGAGUAUCCGCCGUAGUUGAUACUUCCUACCACAACGUCGUGUUCUCGGCAUAAAGAAAGAUGAAGUUUGAGAAUGGAGAAUAAUAACUCUAGUUAUUAUUUAAUGGAUGGUUACGAUAACUCGUACAAUUCGUAUGCACCUUUAGUUAUCGGGGAUUGGAUGAGGUUACGGCAACUCGUGCGAUUCAUACGCAUCUCUAGUUAUAGGGUAAGGAUGUUAUUGCCUUUACUCGUCAGAUUCGUACGCACCUUUAGUAAAGAAUAACUAAGGUGAAGGUUUUCACGUGAUUAAUGGAAGCCUUUUAGCUCCGAACUUGUCGACUGUGUAGUAUGAUCUUGAGACUCGCGAGAGAAUUUAAUGAAUUUAAGUUAGAAUUACGCGAGGUCGCCUGGAAAGCACAGCCGGGGUUAUAUGAACGAACAAUGAGUUUAAACUUAACAAAACUAAUUUAUUAAUAAUUUACCAAGUAACAGUGUACAAUCAACUUUUAAAAUAUAAGAAGACGACCUUGUCGAACGCAGCCCCUGAUGCCAGAAGUUCUCUUGUUUAUUUACUAACUCUUUGCGGACGGAGCGGUCUGACGGGCGAGCGUCGCCGUGUACAACAGGUCUAUAGCAUCCCGUACCAGAUUCUUGGCAUCACUUAUCCAAUCCCAUCUAGAGUUCACUUGGAUGAAGCAUCAUAUUUCAAUGGGCGCUAGAAAUGGCUAGAAGCACUAGAAGUCAUCGCUUCUUCUUCCAUCAAUUCCAGUUCUUUCCUAACUUUUUUAUCGAGGACAACAUCACAGUCGAAUUCCAUUCAAUUAGCAUUCUAUUAGCCAGUCUAGCAUCCUGCAAAGCCAACUUAGCAUCCUGCAAUGGUCUUUUUACCAAAUCCUACAAAAUCGGAGCGAGGACGAAAUUUUAAAGAACUCUCUUACUGAUUCAUCGAGCAACGCUGCUGCUGUUGAAAACAUUUAACGUGAUACGAAUUAAUAGUUGAUAAGGAAAAAUUUAACAAUGAGAAAUAAAUGUCUCGCUGUUUGGGAAACAGAUAUGUAGGCAGUGUAGAAAGGAAAUAAAAUCCCAGUUGAUUAAUUGCUUACAUUGUAGACAAUUUUUCAUCUGAGUUGCCACAAUUUUCAUAAAGUUCAUAAUUCAGCAAAUGAAUCGCUGAGUUGAACUGGUAAAUAUCAAAUAUUUAUAUAAAUAUGAAAUAGGGAGUGUAAUGCGAGGAGUAAUGUAUGCAAGGGGAGUGUAAGGUAGCAGCCCAAUAAUGCAAAUAGCCGAAUAGCGAUCGAGUGUUUCACUCCAAGACAAAGAUCGAACAAAAGAAAAGAAGGCCUAAAAAGAUAGUCAGUGUCUACCAAUCGAAUAACGAUUACAUCUUAGUGUAUCAAUAUUUCUUUGCUUUUCAUUUAUUAGAAUAUAUUGGAUUUCCGUAGAAGAGAGAUUUCUUUUCAUCAUCGGAAUUCUUAUUUUUUUAGUCAGAUAUCAUUUCAGAAGACUGACUAGACCGAGGGAAUUUCAUAUAUAUUAUGUAAAAAGUAUUAGUAACAUAGUCAAAUCUGUAAAUACUGAUAAGUCGAAGAGCACUAGUAGAAGAAUAAUGUAUAUUACUGAAAGUACAGGGAUUAAUAUAGAGAACUGAAUGAUUUAUAUAAAAGAAUAUUACCUGGAAUGAUUAAUAUAAAAGAUUUAGAGGAAAUUGUUAUGAGAUUGUUGAAAAAGAAAGAAACCGAAGAGGGAAUAACUACCAAUAUAUUAAAGUUGGUGUUUUAUUCAAUAAAAGAGAAAUUUGUCGACGUAAUAAAUAAUUCUUUGAAGAAAGGUUGCUAUUCAGAAAGUUGGAAAACAUCAACGAUAUAACCGAUUCCACAAAUAGAAAAAGCUAAAAAGCGAAUGAUUAUAGAUCGAUUACCAAUAUGAGAAAGUGUUAGAAUUAGUGAUGAAGAAGCAAAUAUAAAUGUAUUUUGAAUUUAAUGGUGUUAUAACGGAACAUUGAUUAGAUGUUAGAAAACAAUAUUUGUGUGAAACGGCAAUUCAAACUGUUGUUGAUGAGUGGAAAUUAAUAGUUAGCUAGAGAACAAUUAUGGAUGUUAUUUCUAUGGAUUUUAAGAGAACAUUUGGAACAGUAGAUAGAAAGAGGUUAAUAGAAAAUUUAUAUCAAUAUAAUUUUAGAGAUAUAGUUUUAGAAUAAUUUAAAUCAUAUUUAAAUAAUAGAACGCAGCAGAUUCAUUUCAACGAUAAAUGGUCUGAAUUAAUUAACAUUGAAUAUGGAGUACCGCAAAGAUUUGUGUCGGGACUCUUGUCAUUCAUUGUAUGUAUAAAUUAUAUAAUAGAAAUGUUCUCUGAAUGAUGUAGUAUAAAAAUGUUUACGGAUAAUACAUUAAUUUAUGUUAUUGGAAAAAGUAGUAUACAGUUAAAGACAGAAAUGAAUAAGACAUUUAUCACUAUGACGUCCGGUGCCAUUCGGAAAUUAUUACUCAAGCACCAAUGGCUGCAUUGUAGAGAAUUCAAUUCAUAUUCAAAACUGGAGAACGAAAGAAUAUUGCAUGUUCUGUAACUAACAGUAAAUUACAGACGUAGCAACUUUGUGUUUUCAUAAAAACCUGUACUCUUCAACAAUGGCAAACGAAAAUGAAGAUACAAUUACACGUGAUGAAUGUGUGGACAUCUUGUCUGAUGUUCCAUCCGAAUUUCAAUAUUGUGAGGAACAUGAAGACAUUAUGUCUUUAGAAAAGGAAAAUGAGGCAAUAUCUUCGGAUGAAUUUGAAAUAUGUAAGCAGAGAAUUUGGCGAACUCCCGUUACCAAGUGAUACAGAAGAAUCAGACGAAGAUAACAGUAGACAGUACAUACCGGAAAACCAUAAUAUGAUCAAAAAAAAAGUGGCAUUAUACUUUUUCAAUUGCGUUUUAUACCACGCGUUCGUACUGCAACAAUAUCAUACAGAUUCCAAGAAACUCCACUUCCAUGAUUUUUUAUUGAAAAUAUGCGAAUCUUGGAUAAAAGAUCAUUCACCUGUUGGUAAAGAGAACUUGGAGGUCCCGAGUACAUGGUUUGCUUCCAGUCGUGAAUCAAUCAACUUCCGUACUCGUAGAGGAACACCAGCUGAUACGUAUUUCAGAAACCAACAACCGAAAACGCAGAAGGUGUCAUGUGAGUUAUAAAUCAAAAGCAUUAAGAGAACUAAUUUAAUCUGUAAAUCUUGUGGAGUUGCGCUUCACCUCGCAGAUUACUUUGCUUCGUUUCAUUUAAAAAAUAAAUACUAAGUUUUUAACAAAAUAUAAAUAAAUAGUUAAACAUGUAAUACGAAAAAAUCUUGUACUUAUUUACAUAUGUAUAUUUCGAGAAAAUCGAGAGACAGGGUUGAGAUAUGGGAAUUAUAAGAUUAGUAAACAAGCCGAAAAACCGCCGGCGAUAAGCGAAAUUAUGUAAAUCAGUUCCACCGGCGCGACACGAAAAAAUCUAGAUUAGACGUGCGGACGGCAUAGUGUUAAUACAGUAGAAGAAUUGAAGAAUAUAUAUAAAUUGAGAAUGAAUGUAGAAAAGACGGAAUAUAUGAUAUGAGUGUAAGAAAAGAGAUGGAUGGAAAUAUUGUAUUGAGAUUCUUUAAUGGAACCGAGAUAUAACGUGUAGAGAUAAUGAAAUACUUAGGAAUAAAUGGUAAGCUUAGAUUUAAAUGUCAUUACGAUUGUAUGUUAAAAAAGAUAGGUAAGAAAACUAGUUUUUUGAAUGGAAUAGGAAAUUAUAUAUUUGCAUAUACUAGGUGUAUCACGUAUAAAGCGAUCAUAGCACAAAUCAUAUCACGUGCAACGUUGUUAAUGGAUAUGAGAAAGAUACAGCUGAAUAAAUUGCAAGUAAUGCAAAAUCGGGAAAUGAGAAUAUAUUACAACAUGUGUCUAUGUAUUUUCAAGAUCUUGAGAAAUUUGUUAACUGAACAAUUAAGAAAUAGGUUAGAAAUAGUAGGAAAAGAAAGCGGAAAAAACAUACGACAGACUAGGAACAUUGUAAUACAAUUUCGCAGAAAUAGGGGUGCGCAAACGAGUAUGUUUUAUGAAGGAGUUAAAAUAUAUAAUAAUUUACCAACCGAUAUGACAACGCAAGAGGCUCGACCAAUUUAAAAAGAUGUUAAAGAAGUAUAUUUUCUAUAAUUUCUAAUAUUGUAUAAAUUGUGUAUUACAAAUAGUUGAGAGAGCUAAUAAAGAUCCAUCAAUAAUUUAAUCAAUCGAAGCUUUCAUCAUUUUCAACUAUCGCUGUCACAGCUUCUUCUAAUAAGUCUAAAUCUUAAUUUUCCCUCGAUUUCUUAAUAGAGGAGAACAUUACACUGAAAUUUUAAUCAUCUAAAACUCUUGUAGCUAAACUAGGUUUGUUUUUAUGUACCGAUAUUCUUACUAAGCUGUACAAUUUAUUAUAUAGCCUCCACUAUAUCCACCAUUAUUAUACAAAUAUUGUGUUCUAAGGCAACUUGCUUAUCAAGCUAUAGCUUACCCACAAUGGCUGACUGUCAGUUGUUUGAACACUGCCCUGAAUUACUAUGCUCCUGUUCAACGCCCACUUUCUUCUUUCCACUUAUACGUUUUCUACACGGAGUUAACUUCGAUCCAGUUCUACAGAACUUUAGUAAACCUAACCGGCAAUUCUUAAUACUCGUUUGUUGAUAAUUACGGAUACUUGUUGAUUUUCAAGCUUUUAUUGUUACAUUGUUUAUUCCACUUAUCAAGAUGUUUGUUAAAUUUACUAAAUCCCAUGACGGACCCAUGUAUCAUUCCUCAUGUUGAUUAGAAUACUCAUUCUAGUAUCCCCCUAUCAUGCUCAAAAAUAAGGAAUCAUUUACAGUAUAGAAUUACUUCUAAUUAUUAUUUUCCAUAAUUAUUGUACUUGUAAUUGUGACCGAUACUUGUAAUAAUAAAUAUUUU